rnacentral:rRNA from 1 species
AUUGAACGCUGGCGGAAUGCUUUACACAUGCAAGUCGAACGGUAGAGGGGGCAACCCCUCGAGAGUGGCGAACGGGUGAGUAAUAUAUCGGAACGUGCCCAGUCGUGGGGGAUAACGUAGCGAAAGUUACGCUAAUACCGCAUACGAUCUAAGGAUGAAAGCGGGGGAUAGCAAGGACACGCGCGAUUGGAGCGGCCGAUAUCAGGCUAGGUAGUUGGUGGGGUAAAGGCUGACCAAGCCAACGAUCUGUAGCUGGUCUGAGAGGACGACCAGCCACACUGGAACUGAGACACGGUCCAGACUCCUACGGGAGGCAGCAGUGGGGAAUUUUGGACAAUGGACGCAAGUCUGAUCCAGCCAUUCCGCGUGCAGGAUGAAGGCCCUCGGGUUGUAAACUGCUUUUGUACGGAACGAAAAGGUCUCUCUUAAUACGGGGGACUCAUGACGGUACCGUAAGAAUAAGCACCGGCUAACUACGUGCCAGCCGCCGCCGUAA